GAUGAACGCUAGCGGCAGGCCUAAUACAUGCAAGUCGAACGGGAUCCAGAUCAAAGCUUGCUUUGGUUUGGUGAGAGUGGCGCACGGGUGCGUAACGCGUGAGCAACCUACCCUUGUCAGGGGGAUAGCCCGGCGAAAGUCGGAUUAAUACCGCAUGACAUCAUUGAGAGGCAUCUUUCGAUGAUCAAAGAUUUAUCGGACAAGGAUGGGCUCGCGUGACAUUAGCUAGUUGGUAAGGUAACGGCUUACCAAGGCUACGAUGUCUAGGGGCUCUGAGAGGAGAAUCCCCCACACUGGUACUGAGACACGGACCAGACUCCUACGGGAGGCAGCAGUAAGGAAUAUUGGUCAAUGGACGGAAGUCUGAACCAGCCAUGCCGCGUGCAGGAAGACGGCCCUAUGGGUUGUAAACUGCUUUUAUACGGGAACAAACGUCGGUACGUGUACCGGUCUGAGUGUACCGGAAGAAUAAGGAUCGGCUAACUCCGUG
rnacentral:rRNA from 1 species